GGCACCCGCUCCGGGGCCACCGCACCAGGUGCCCACAUGAUUCUGCCACUGCCAGGCCCCCAGGUCACAGAACCUGAAGGGCAACUGAGAGCAGAGAGCAUUCCCCGCCCCCUGGGCAGUUGGCCACAGCCUCUGUGUGUCCUGGAACGCCUUGGCCUUCUGUGGAGUCUCAAGGAGCUGGCUUGACUGAAAAGGUCGUGAACUUAAGAAAUCUAGCCGGGGAACGGGCCUCUGUGCUCUGCUUCUUCUACACUGAUAUCUGCCCGCAUGCUGCUGCUUCUGAAACACAGGCUGGAGAUGAAAUAAUCCGGGGCCUCACAGAUGAAAUGUGAUCAGCCAUCUUGCUCCUGCAACCCUGCCUUGCCUUCCACACCCACAAUGGAGCCUACUCUUCAGGAACCAUGAGUUAAUGAGAACCUUUCCCCCCUCCUGUUGCUUUGGUCAUGGUAUUUUGUCGCAGAAACAGAAAAAACCUUCAUCUGGCGAUGGAUGGAAAUAGAGACAGAGCCCCACAUUGGAGCACUGGAC